rnacentral:lncRNA from 1 species
GAAAAAAAUAUAAGAGUUGUUGUCUUACGUUUCAAUAAAUAAGUGAUGAACGAAGAAAAAAAUUCAAGACCUCGAUUCACAAGUAAAUAGAGAAGCAGGAGAGGAAGGUAAGUUUUUAACCUAGUUUAUAGAUUUAAUUUGUAUAUUCCAUGACUAUAGAAUUGGGGUUGAAAUUUAAAGAAACAUGGAUUAAAGAAUUAGAGGAAUUUGUUAAAUUUCAUGAACGGAGAGAGG